AUUGAACGCUGGCGGCAUGCCUUACACAUGCAAGUCGAACGGUAACAGGUCUUCGGAUGCUGACGAGUGGCGAACGGGUGAGUAAUACAUCGGAACGUGCCUAGCAGUGGGGGAUAACUACUCGAAAGAGUGGCUAAUACCGCAUGUGAUCUACGGAUGAAAGCAGGGGAUCGCAAGACCUUGUGCUACUACAGCGGCCGAUGGCAGAUUGGGUAGUUGGUGGGAUAAAAGCUUACCGAGCCGACGAUCUGUAGCUGGUCUGAGAGGACGAUCAGCCACACUGGGACUGAGACAAGGCCCACACUCCUACGGGAGGCAGCAGUGGGGAAUUUUGGACAAUGGGCGAAAGCCUGAUCCAGCAAUGCCGCGUGCAGGAUGAAGGCCUUCGGGUUGUAAACUGCUUUUGUACGGAACGAAAAGCCCCGGGUUAAUACCCUGGGGUCAUGACGGUACCGUAAGAAUAAGCACCGGCUAACUACGUGCCAGCAGCCGCCGCAG
rnacentral:rRNA from 1 species